rnacentral:lncRNA from 10 species
AUUUAUAUAAGAGAAUAAUUUGAAUAAGAUCUAGCCAAGGUUGACAACAUCCCCUGUAAAAAAGAAGCUAGUAUUUAAUUUAAAGUUGGUGAUUUUCUCCAGAUUAUCAGUAACUGGUAGCCAAGUAAACUGGAAAACAGCAAGUUGAAUUGCAGGUUUCAGUUUUUCCUGAAGACCUUCAGAAAAGAACUAAUCACACAGAAGAAAAAGUAGUAAAACUGCCAAAAUUUAAAAGGAAAUCAUUAAUCUUGUUAGUGCACACAGUGUUUGGAAAAGACACAUUAAAACACCCUGAUUGCAAAGCACUCAAAUUGAUUUUCACAUCCUUUUCCAUGCAUUAAAAGUCCCGAGAACCGAAGAGUUUGCUUAUUUUUUUUGUUUUUGCUGUUAUAACUACUAUUACCAUAAGCUUAAAUAAGAAUGAACCUCUUCAGCACCUGCAAAGGGAGUCUGAGAUCUUAGAGGGAAUAUAUGCAUACUACUUUGAUCUAAUAAUUUUCAACAAUAAAAUUGAUGAAAAUGAUUAGACAUCUGGGAGAAGCUGUUGAGUUCAUAUGCACAGACCCUCCAUGGGUCCCAAUC